UUGUGAUCUUUUGGCGUUGGAAUCAUUGAAAAAUAUUGAAUGUGGAAUUUUUAAUGAAUUGUCGAACACUGACUGCUCUCUGGGAUAGUUUUGGUCCGUUGAUUCUCUUUUGUCUGUUUUGACUCUCAAUCACUUCUAACACUUUUUAAACAUCGUUAAACCAUCCCUAAGCUUGAUUACUUGAGUUCCUAUGAGUUAAUGAUCAUUCAAAUUCCUUCGAUACCCAUUAAGCAUAAUCUUAGUGUUGUUCUAAAUGGAAUAUGUGAUUUAAGGUUGUUUAGGAGUACCGAAGGCUAAGUGAGACAUUGUGGGAAGUAUAGUUGGCAGACGUGAGCUUUUCUAGUGAUCCGAGUGGUAGCAUAGUGAUCCGUGUCCGCAUGAUUCACUUAUCCUUCAAACUCUAUUGGUGCUCGUUCCACGAGAUCAAAGUAAUCAAUAUUAGUAAGUAGUAUGUUGUAGAGUCGCUAUGGAGUCGGUACGAUAUUGUGUUGUACUAAGAGAGAAAGGCGUGUACUGAUUUGUUAGUCAAUGUUCUAUUAUGAUUGAUCGUUUGGAAUACUUUGAAAUGUGAUUGUCGAUGCGUGUUUGACCUAUAAAUCAGUUUGAUUGACGUGCCUUAUUGUGUCAUGAGAUUAGAGAAGUGUUUGUUGGAUGAGUUGUAUGAUUGUUGGGAUUUGAAUGGUUGCAAUUGAGAAUUUGAACGAGGAAGUGACUGCAACGCAAGGGGUGGAAAUGCAGACUGCAACACAAGGGGUGGAAAUGCAGACUGCAACGCAAGGGGUGGAAAUGCAGACUGCAACGCAAGGGGUGGAAAUGCAGACUGCAACGCAAGGGAUGGAAAUGCAGAGUGGUUGAGAUUAUGAGAAGUGUCGAAAUGGUUGCGAACCUAUUGUGAGUACGUUUGAUUGAUGUGAUUUUAAUAAUAUUUCUACAUGACAUGUGAACGGCUAGGAAUACUUACAAGUUGUUUGGAACUCUUUGGCCGUAGUCUGUCUUUCGUUGUGAUAAACUCGUGUUUCUCAUGUUCACUUAUCGAAUUCUUUCACUCUUUGUGCAUACUUCAUCGCAUUUUCAUAUAGCUUGAGUAUAGAUUUCUCUACUGGGCUAGUGUAGCUCAACCUACCAUUUUCAGGUACACUACAUGGACACAGUCUUGGAGGGUGUGAAGUGCAUGCUGACAUCGCAGGCUAAAGUUAUUUUCUGAAGAACUUGUCUUUCCCUUGUAAAUCAAACUGUAUUGUACUAUUUUCUCUAAUUUGGAAUACUGUAUCAAUUGACAAAAUUGUGAGAUUUAGAAACUGUAUGUUGUAAUUUGGGGUACCGUAUGUACUAUUGUGAGGAUUUGUAUUUAAAAUGGUAUUGUUAUUUAUGUUAAAAAUCGAGGGCGUGACAAUUUUGCCCUUGUUCAAAAA